rnacentral:rRNA from 2 species
AACGCGUGGGAAUCUACCUUAAGCUACGGGAUAACAGAGAGAAAUUUCUGCUAAUACCGUAUGUGGNCUAUGGGCGAAAGAUUUAUCGGCUUAAGAUGAGCCCGCGUUGGAUUAGCCAGUUGGUGGGGUAAAGGCCUACCAAGGCGACGAUCCAUAGCUGGUCUGAGAGGAUGAUCAGCCACACUGGGACUGAGACACGGCCCAGACUCCUACGGGAGGCAGCAGUGGGGAAUAUUGGACAAUGGGCGGAAGCCUGAUCCAGCCAUGCCGCGUGAGUGAAGAAGGCCUUAGGGUUGUAAAGCUCUUUCACCGGUGAAGAUAAUGACGGUAACCGGAGAAGAAGCCCCGGCUAACUUCGUGCCAGCAGCCGCGGUAAUACGAAGGGGGCUAGCGUUGUUCGGAUUUACUGGGCGUAAAGCGCGCGUAGGCGGAUAGAUAAGUCAGAGGUGAAAUCCCGGGGCUCANCCCCGGAAUUGCCUUUGAUACUGUUUAUCUUGAGUGCNNAA